rnacentral:misc_RNA from 1 species
AAGUCGUAACAAGGUUUCCGUAGGUGAACCUGCGGAAGGAUCAUUAACACGUAUCCAACGUUAAACCCCCCUGUGAACUUUCAGAACCCGAUCUCGUAUACCCAGUGCGGCACAGCAAUCCCGGUAAAUCAUUGUUAAACAGUUUUGAUUCGGGACUUCUGACAAAUGCGUUACGAUCGAGCGGUAUAGGGUGGCAUGGCUUCCCCAAGCAGUCAGUGAAUGAAAGUGUCAUUGAUUGUGUAAGGAUAACGCUUCACGAUUGCUAGAGGUCACUCACGGCCGGCAACCAUGUCACAGGGUCCUUUGAGACUCCAUCGAAACCCCACUACUUAAUAACAGGGCUGCGUUAACUUCGCGCCUAAAAAAAACCGAACAACUGUUAACAAUGGAUAUCUUGGUUCUC